AUUGAACGCUGGCGGCAGGCCUAACACAUGCAAGUCGAGCGGAUGAAGGGAGCUUGCUCCUGGAUUCAGCGGCGGACGGGUGAGUAAUGCCUAGGAAUCUGCCUGGUAGUGGGGGAUAACGUCCGGAAACGGGCGCUAAUACCGCAUACGUCCUGAGGGAGAAAGUGGGGGAUCUUCGGACCUCACGCUCUCAGAUGAGCCUAGGUCGGAUUAGCUAGUUGGUGGGGUAAAGGCCUACCAAGGCGACGAUCCGUAACUGGUCUGAGAGGAUGAUCAGUCACACUGGAACUGAGACACGGUCCAGACUCCUACGGGAGGCAGCAGUGGGGAAUAUUGGACAAUGGGCGAAAGCCUGAUCCAGCCAUGCCGCGUGUGUGAAGAAGGUCUUCGGAUUGUAAAGCACUUUAAGUUGGGAGGAAGGGCAGUAAGUUAAUACCCUGCUGUUUUGACGUUACCAACAGAAUAAGCACCGGCUAACUUCGUG
rnacentral:rRNA from 1 species